GCCAGCGGCGAUGGCACGUUGAAUACACCAGUUCCCAAUGGAUCACUGCAGUUAAGCAACGUUGCGAGUGGUUAGUAUCCGGAUGGGUGACCAUCUGGGCAAUCGCGAGCUGCUGGCU
rnacentral:rRNA from 1 species